UACGUAGGGCGCAAGCGUUAUCCGGAUUCACUGGGUUUAAAGGGUGCGUAGGUGGGCAGGUAAGUCAGUGGUGAAAUCUCCGGGCUUAACCCGGAAACUGCCAUUGAUACUAUCUGUCUUGAAUACCGUGGAGGUGAGCGGAAUAUGUCAUGUAGCGGUGAAAUGCUUAGAUAUGACAUAGAACACCAAUUGCGAAGGCAGCUCACUACACGAAUAUUGACACUGAGGCACGAAAGCGUGGGGAUCAAACAGG
rnacentral:rRNA from 1 species